UUAAUUCUCGUCUUAAUCAACUAUCAACAAACUGUCAUGAGCUUGAAAAAUGGAUAGGAAGAGGGGUGAGAUUACAUAAUCCCAGUGAGUAAACAGACACCAUCUAAACUAUCUAAAGGCGAGUAAAUGGAGACGAAUUAAAAUAUUUUUUUCCAAUAUAUGUUUCAUAACAUGAAUAUUCAGUUUACUCAAUUAAUCAACAUGGCUUAUAUAUCUCACAAAACUUGGCUCCUGCCAAAAUCAUUCCCGAGGAUGCCUUGGCCUAGGUAUCUGACCGAGACCAUUAAGGAUGUUAAAUGUCUUUACAUCUAAAAUUCUAGUCAUGCCUUGGCGUUGGCUGAGUCUCACUCUCAAGCAAUGGUCCACGUGAAGUACACUCAGAUCUUUACCUUCAGAGAUACCCUUCACACGGCUCUCCGAUCGAGGUAAGGUAUAUAUGAUUCUGUGCCCCCUCUCUUAGGCUGGCCCACAGAACCUCCACAGCAGGGAUUAUGAAUUAUUUUAUCUACCACUUGAUUUAUAAAAUCCUUAUCUGCAUGACAUGUUAAUUUACCGUAAUCUAGCCUCUCAAGGCUGAAUACAUAGUAUAUAUAAUUUUGAUACAAAUACCAACUUUGCCAUUCAUGCUCACAUAUUGCUAUAAGCCAUAUAAUUUAAAACACAAUUUAUAACACAAGCAGGCAGUCUCCAAUUACUCUACUUUCAAAACCAAUAUUCAAUUUUUCAGAAAAUUUAUAAAAUCAUUUUAUAAAAUCAUAAUUUCUCCUAAAACGUAGCAAUUUACCAUUUAAACCCUUUUUCUAUAAAAUCACACAAUGUAUAAAACUACUCUAGAUAAUUAAGACGAUAAUAAGUUUACUCACAGUUCUAGGAGUCGAUGUACUCCUAAUCCCUGUCUUCAAGCACAAUCUCUGUACUUUUACCAGUGUAAUUUAUUCACCACCUAUCCACAAUGUACAAUACAUAAUUCACCACAUUAAUGCUUGACCAUUAUAAAAUCAAUUCAGGCUCAGUGUAUAUGCAUGAUAUGAUAUGCAACUUAUCCGACUACCGCUUAAAUGCGGUGCUGACCUAAUUCGGCCUAUUACCCGAUUAAAUGACAAUUGUAUCCGAUUUGGCUCCAAAUUGCUCCAUUUCAUUUCUAAUACCUCAAUUCACCAAACAUUAUUCAAAUAACACCAAUUUCAGCAUCAAAACCUUCCCAUUUCUUCAUGGAAAAAUUUGGCCAUUACAGUGCACUAACACCGUGAUUUUUCCUACUUAAUUUUCUCACCAUUAUUCAUCAUUUUCUAAGCCAUUUCUCUUGAAAUAAUAACAAUCCAUCACCCACACACAUCAAGGAAGAUUCGGCCAAUGAAGAUUCAUGGGGAAAAUGAAUUCUUUUCUUGUUGUUUUGCUUCUAAAUAUGCUAAACUAACUAAAAACACUAACAUCUUUCUCUCUCCUUACCCAUUUUGAUCAGCCAUGAAUUCAUUAUGAAAACAUGUAAUUUAACCAUGAAAAUUAAGGAAAAAUGCAUGGGUAAGGUAAAUCACUAGCAAAAUCAAAGAAAUUUUACCUUUGUUUGAUCAAAUCCUUGAAUUCCAAUACUUUCUCUUUGAUAUUUCCCACCUAGGGUUUGUUCUUCUUUGAUUUCUCUUCUCUUCUGGUUUGGCUGAUCACUAU
rnacentral:lncRNA from 1 species